GGGACUGUAGCUCAGAAGGAUAGAGCAAGCGCCUCCUAAGCGCGAGGUCGGUGGUUCGACUCCACCCUGUCCCG
rnacentral:tRNA from 1 species